UGCCAGCCGCCGCGGUAAUACAGGGGGGGCAAGCGUUGUCCGGAAUUACUGGGCGUACAGCGCGCGCAGGCGGUCCACUACGUGCCGUGUGAAAGCCCCCGGCCUAACCGGGGAGGGUCGUCGGGGACGGGUGCGCUUGAGGGUAUCAGGGGCUGGUGGAAUUCCCGGUGUAGUGGUGAAAUGCGUAGAGAUCGGGAGGAACACCCGUGGCGAAGGCGGCCAGCUGGGAUACACCUGACGCUGAGGCACGAAGGCGUGGGGAGCGAACGGGAUUAGAUA
rnacentral:rRNA from 1 species